GAUGAACGCUGGCGGCGUGCCUAAUACAUGCAAGUCGAGCGAACGGACGAGAAGCUUGCUUUUCUGAUGUUAGCGGCGGACGGGUGAGUAACACGUGGAUAACCUACCUAUAAGACUGGGAUAACUUCGGGAAACCGGAGCUAAUACCGGAUAAUAUUUUGAACCGCAUGGUUCAAAAGUGAAAGACGGUCUUGCUGUCACUUAUAGAUGGAUCCGCGCUGCAUUAGCUAGUUGGUAAGGUAACGGCUUACCAAGGCAACGAUGCAUAGCCGACCUGAGAGGGUGAUCGGCCACACUGGAACUGAGACACGGUCCAGACUCCUACGGGAGGCCGCAGUAGGGCAUCUUCCGCAAUGGGCGAAAGCCUGACGGAGCAACGCCGCGUGAGUGAUGAAGGUCUUCGGAUCGUAAAACUCUGUUAUUAGGGAAGAACAUAUGUGUAAGUAACUGUGCACAUCUUGACGGUACCUAAUCAGAAAGCCACGGCUAACUACGUG
rnacentral:rRNA from 1 species